UACGGGGGGGGCAAGCGUUGUUCGGAUUCAUUGGGCGCAAAGGGUGCGUAGGCGGCGCGGUAAGUCGGGUGUGAAAUCUCGAGCUUAACUUCGAAACUGCAUUCGAUACUGCCGUGCUUGAGGACUGGAGAGGAGACUGGAAUUUACGGUGUAGCGGUGAAAUGCGUAGAUAUCGUAAGGAAGACCAGUGGCGAAGGCGGGUCUCUGGACAGUUCCUGACGCUGAGGCACGAAGGUCAGGAGAGCAAACGGG
rnacentral:rRNA from 1 species